rnacentral:miRNA from 1 species
GCCGCCUCAGCCCCUCCACGGCGACGGCGGCGGCUGCGGCUGAGUCGGUGGCGGCGGCGGCGGCGGCGGCUGCGGGCUGAGCGGCG